ensembl:ncRNA lncRNA:CR43488 long non-coding RNA:CR43488
AUUUAUUACCAGUUUACUGGAUCACUCGUGAAUUCCGGAACGACACCGUGACGCUCAGAAACGCGGCGCAAACCCCAGAGUGGAUUUGCAGGUUUAUGUUGCAGUUUACGGCUGACCGGACUCGUAUAUGACGAAAUUCGCGCAGCGCAGCAAAAAGACGUGCGAAAUACGCGGGAACUCCAUUUAGGACCCUGUGUGUUUCCGUGUGUGUGUGUGCGGUUGCGGGUACUGGUGAGUGUGAGUAAUAUUCCGCAGCCAGGAUUUGCAUAAAGCUCACCUCAGACGAGCGCCUUAACUUUAACAUUCAGGAGACAGUUUCAUAAACACCCGAAUCGCUGUGGAUGAGACACAAGCCGUUUUAGCAACAGCUGAUGACACGUUUGGGGGCGCCCCAAAAUGAAGCGCAGGAUAAACACGGCGGGGAUGAGAGAUCGAAAGGUCAAAGUGCGUUGCAUACGUGAGUGGUUCGAACGGAUUGCGAAAAGCCCACCGAACUCGAGGACCCUACUUCGCAGCUCUAACGAGCAGCACCACUUCAGAGCCCAUUUCGAGCUGAUAGUAAUCCCACUAACGAUGUACUUCAAAAAUAAUCAAGUUGCGAAACGGGUUUGUUAAAUUGUGAGCGUGCAUAAAAAUGAAAGAGAAAAUGUAGUUUUAACCAUAUGGAAAUACAAAUGUAUAUAUAACUU